CACACACAUCGACAGAGGAGGAUGCAUUGCGAUAGGCAGAAAGGGGGAAUUAAAAGGGGACGAUGUGGGCUCCCCGCGAAAAGUUGGUGGGUUUUUUUUGUUGUUUUUCUUUCUUUUCUUCCCACCCCCCUCCCCGCGUCUGAAAUCGGGAAUUCUCUCUCCCUUCCCAAUUGCAAAAGGCACGCCGGGGGUUUUAAUGAUGGAGAAGAGAAACACGCUCGCUGCACGGAGGAGCAGCCCUGCGUGUGCGCGCACCCUUGCACACUCACCCUUGCACACACACACACGCACACAUUUACACCCCUACAGGCUCCCAUUCCACUUUGGGCUAUUUUUGCCGCCCGUCCCUCACCCCUCAUUCCUCACCUAACAUAUCCACCCUCCUACCACCGCCCCGCGGGGCUCCGCUCUUCCCGCUCCGACCUCCCCCCCGCUCCCUUAAAUUUUUUUUUUUUUUUUUUUUGGGGUGGGGUGGGUGAGCGGUCAGAACAACCCCCCCCAACAAGCCUACUCGCAGUGACCCCCCCCCCCCCGAAAAGUGAGUUGCUCCGCGCGGACGGCGACGGGGGGGUGGUGGGAUUGGGGGGGGGGGGAUGAGUAAGGGGGUGGUGGUCCUUCGCCCCCCCCCCCCCCCCCCGCUCCGCUCCGCUCCCCUCCGCGGCCCCGGCGGCGGCGGCGCGGAGCGGAGCGGGAAUCGCUGGCGCCGGCUGCCAUCUAGUGGGCACCGAGCCGCCGGCCCGGGGGAAAUGGGGGGGGGGACGGGGGGGCCGCCGUGCCUCUCUGAGGCCUUGCACACCCCCCCUUUAAAAAAAAAAAUUAAAAAACGUCUUUUUUUUUUUUUUUUCUUUCCCCUCUUUAAUUUUAAUAGCAAACUACACCGGAGAGAAGAAACCCCUUCUUCGCGAUUUCUGUCUCUCCUUUCUCACGAACCUCCUCCCUCUUCAGCCAGAGGUCUGAAAUUCGCUUUGGGGUCGGAAGACUGCGUGUGGCAAAGAAGAAACAAACUGUAAAAAGAAAAAAAAAAACCAAGCAAAAAACAACCCCCAAACCCACCACCACCCCCUCACCAACAGCUCGACACCCUGCUGCUAUCCUCUUAGCUCCCAUAAAAGUUUAUAAUCAGCUCUGAAAUCUGAGGCUGGGAGCCGGCUGGAGAGGAGAAUCCUUCAUCAUUUCUGAGAUCAGAAUAAACGCUUGAUUUUGUCCCGAAA